CGGCGUGCCUAAUACAUGCAAGUCGAGCGAACGGACGAGAAGCUUGCUUCUCUGAUGUUAGCGGCGGACGGGUGAGUAACACGUGGAUAACCUACCUAUAAGACUGGGAUAACUUCGGGAAACCGGAGCUAAUACCGGAUAAUAUUUUGAACCGCAUGGUUCAAAAGUGAAGGACGGUCUUGCUGUCACUUAUAGAUGGAUCCGCGCUGCAUUAGCUAGUUGGUAAGGUAACGGCUUACCAAGGCAACGAUGCAUAGCCGACCUGAGAGGGUGAUCGGCCACACUGGAACUGAGACACGGUCCAGACUCCUACGGGAGGCAGCAGUAGGGAAUCUUCCGCAAUGGGCGAAAGCCUGACGGAGCAACGCCGCGUGAGUGAUGAAGGUCUUCGGAUCGUAAAACUCUGUUAUUAGGGAAGAACAUAUGUGUAAGUAACUGUGCACAUCUUGACGGUACCUAAUCAGAAAGCCACGGCUAACUACGUGCCAGCAGCCGCGGUAAUACGUAGGUGGCAAGCGUUAUCCGGAAUUACUGGGCGUAAAGCGCGCGUAGGCGGUUUUUUAAGUCUGAUGUGAAAGCCCACGGCUCAACCGUGGAGGGUCAUUGGAAACUGGAAAACUUGAGUGCAGAAGAGGAAAGUGGAAUUCCAUGUGUAGCGGUGAAAUGCGCAGAGAUAUGGAGGAACACCAGUGGCGAAGGCGACUUUCUGGUCUGUAACUGACGCUGAUGUGCGAAAGCGUGGGGAUCAAACAGGAUUAGAUACCCUGGUAGUCCACGCCAUAAACGAUGAGUGCUAAGUGUUAGGGGGUUUCCGCCCCUUAGUGCUGCAGCUAACGCAUUAAGCACUCCGCCUGGGGAGUACGACCGCAAGGUUGAAACUCAAAGGAAUUGACGGGGACCCGCACAAGCGGUGGAGCAUGUGGUUUAAUUCGAAGCAACGCGAAGAACCUUACCAAAUCUUGACAUCCUUUGACAACUCUAGAGAUAGAGCCUUCCCCUUCGGGGGACAAAGUGACAGGUGGUGCAUGGUUGUCGUCAGCUCGUGUCGUGAGAUGUUGGGUUAAGUCCCGCAACGAGCGCAACCCUUAAGCUUAGUUGCCAUCAUUAAGUUGGGCACUCUAAGUUGACUGCCGGUGACAAACCGGAGGAAGGUGGGGAUGACGUCAAAUCAUCAUGCCCCUUAUGAUUUGGGCUACACACGUGCUACAAUGGACAAUACAAAGGGCAGCGAAACCGCGAGGUCAAGCAAAUCCCAUAAAGUUGUUCUCAGUUCGGAUUGUAGUCUGCAACUCGACUACAUGAAGCUGGAAUCGCUAGUAAUCGUAGAUCAGCAUGCUACGGUGAAUACGUUCCCGGGUCUUGUACACACCGCCCGUCACACCACGAGAGUUUGUAACACCCGAAGCCGGUGGAGUAACCAAAGAGGAGCUAGCCGUCGAAGGUGGGAC
rnacentral:rRNA from 1 species